rnacentral:lncRNA from 1 species
UGGCCUGAAUUUCUGUACGUGAUAAAAGCACAAGUGAUAUUUACAAAGCAUAGAUUUUUCUAUUCAAAAAUAAAUUAAAAGCAGCAUCUGGCAGCCUGAAGGAUCCAAACUGCUUCAGAAAAUUUACGAACCGCUAUACCAACUAGGGACACACAAGGCAUUGCUUUCUCUCUCACUGAACUGCAGCCACCUGUUGGGUGGUACACAAGCACUGUUCGACAGCACACAGCACCAGUUUAGGACAGGAAGUAAAGAGUGUUGUAUCCGACCAUGAAGCUGCUGGGGGACUUUAGGUCAGCAGAAUGUAACUACUCAAGCUGGAAUCUGGCUAGGACAUACGCAGUACUAAUCAUCAGAACCAGGGGAUAGCAUGUUUAAGUAGGCAAAUGGGAAGUGCCAUUUAGACAUUCAAGAAACUAGACUCUCCCUUUGCCGAUCCAGCCAUAAGAGGUCACUAGUAGUUACAAGGCCCCAGGAAGCCGCACAGCAGUCUGCAAUGCACUGGCCAGACUGGGGAGAGAGUAUUUUUUUUAAAAGAAAUAACUCUAGAUGUAUGCAUUUUACUGAUACUAGACUGUUGGCAGCCCCAGAGGAAUGAUUGUGCCAUAGAGAGCCAACUCCCCCUGCUGUCCCUGCAGGCUGGGUAUGAGACACACUGGUGGAGGCAAAGCAAGGAAGCUCUUUGAUUUGGGUGCUAGCAAAAGACUUGGGAGACCUGGGUUUGAGCCCUUGAUCUGCCACAGAUUUCCUGUGUGACCCUGGGCAAGUCACUUAGCCUAUCUGUACCCCAGGUCCCAUCAGUAGCAGGGGGGGGAUAACCGCACAGCCCUUCCUCCCAGGGGUAUUGUGAGGAUAAAUGCACUCAAGAUGGAGGUGCUCAGAUAUCAUGGCUAUGGGAGCCAUAUAAGUACCUUGGAUGUACGGAUAAACUGACUGCUGGUUGAUUAUCCUACCCCAGACUGUCCAGCGACCCAGAGCACCACAGCCUCUGGGACCCACCACCAGCACUAACUUCACUUAUCUGCAUUUAAAACCACACCUUCAGCUCAGAAACCAGCACCUGCAACCGACUCUCAAACACACCCCA